UUGGUGAAGCCGCGAAUGGCUCAUUACAACAGCCACUGUUUACUUGAUCUUGAUUAUCCUACUUGGAUAACUGUGGUAAUUCUAGAGCUAAUACACGCAAUAAAGCUCCGACCUUACGGGACGAGCGCAUUUAUUAGACCAAAACCAAUCGGGCCUCGGCCUGAACGGUGGUGACUCUGAAUAACUGAGCUGAUCGCAUGGUCUUUGUACCGGCGACGCAUCUUUCAAGUGUCUGCCUUAUCAACUUUCGAUGGUAGUUUAUGUGCCUACCAUGGUUGUUACGGGUAACGGAGAAUAAGGGUUCGACUCCGGAGAGGGAGCCUGAGAAACGGCUACCACAUCCAAGGAAGGCAGCAGGCGCGCAAAUUACCCACUCUCGGCACGAGGAGGUAGUGACGAAAAAUAACGAGGCGGUUCUCUAAGAGGCCCGCUAUCGGAAUGGGUACAAUUUAAACCCUUUAACGAGGACCUAUGAGAGGGCAAGUCUGGUGCCAGCAGCCGCGGUAAUUCCAGCUCUCAAGGUGUAUAU
rnacentral:rRNA from 1 species